rnacentral:rRNA from 1 species
AUUGAACGCUGGCGGCAUGCCUUACACAUGCAAGUCGAACGGCAGCACGGGGCAACCUGGUGGCGAGUGGCGAACGGGUGAGUAAUGCAUCGGAACGUGCCAUUGAGUGGGGGAUAACGUAGCGAAAGUUGCGCUAAUACCGCAUAUUCUGUGAGCAGGAAAGCAGGGGGACCGCAAGGCCUUGCGCUCUUUGAGCGGCCGAUGUCAGAUUAGCUAGUUGGUGAGGUAACGGCUUAUCAAGGCGACGAUCUGUAGCGGGUCUGAGAGGAUGAUCCGCCACACUGGAACUGAGACACGGUCCAGACUCCUACGGGAGGCAGCAGUGGGGAAUUUUGGACAAUGGGCGCAAGCCUGAUCCAGCCAUGCCGCGUGAGUGAAGAAGGCCUUC